rnacentral:rRNA from 1 species
CGCAUCUGUGCAUGCAUGCAUAUCAAUAAGCGGAGGAAAAGAAACUAACAAGGAUUCCCUUAGUAACGGCGAGUGAAGCGGGAAGAGCUCAAAUUUGAAAUCCUUCAAGGUUUUACCUUGACGAAUUGUAGUUUAAAGAAGUGUUUUCUGUUGAAGUUUUGGUAAAAGUUCUUUGGAAUAGGACAUCAUAGAGGGUGAGAAUCCCGUAUUUGACCAUUAUUUUCAGCUGUGUGAUACACUUUCAAAGAGUCGGAUUGUUUGGGAAUGCAGUCCAAAAUGGGUGGUAAAUUUCAUCUAAAGCUAAAUAUUGGCGAGAGACCGAUAGCGAACAAGUACCGUGAGGGAAAGAUGAAAAGAACUUUGAAAAGAGAGUUAAACAGUACGUGAAAUUGUCAAAAGGGAAGCGUUUGACACCAGUGUUGUUUUCUCGAAAAUCAAUUAAAAAGAGUUAGAUUUUGUUGUGUAUUGACCUUAACAGCUUGCAUUUCAAUUUUCUUGCUUUUUUUAAGUGCACUUUUCGUUUAACAAGUCAACAUCAGUUUCUUUUGUUGUAAAAAGGUCAUUGGAAGGUGGCUUUCUUUUCGGAGAAAGUGUUUAUAGCCUUUGACUCCUGCAAUCGGAGAGACUGAGGUCUGCAGCGUAGAUCCUUCGGGGUUAGAUACAUUUGUGCUAAGUUAUAGCUUUUUAUAGACAACUUGUUGACUAUGAUUAGUCUUGUAGCUUACUCGCUUAUGCUAUUUUACCUACGCUUAGGAUGUUGAUGUGAUACUGCGAGCA